GCCCAACACACCCCCAUUAUCCCCGUCGAGGCUCAUAUGGGCUUGCUCUCCUCUUCCUCAUCCUCGUCCUCCUCCGCGGGAACUGGUGCUGGUGCAGCGGCGGCUCAAACAGACGCACAGGAGGUGAAGCGCGUCGACUCGCUCUACAACCCGCACGAUGUCUGCGAGGCCGCCGUAGACUACGUUCUGCGUCACGUGAACACGGUUCAGUACAUGAUUCAGAGCAUUGAAGAGAUCACCGGCAAGCCCUUCCUGCGCGACCGCAUCAAGUGCCUGCCCGCUGUCCCACGUGGUGAGGCCUCCUGCUACUCCGCGAUGGGACUUACCCCAGAUCGGGUGCUUGCGGGGUACAUGUGGCGCAGUGCCCGCCCCGACUGCCAGGCCAAAGAUGUCGUGCUACUGGAGGAUCACAUUGCCCGUCUUUUUAACACAAAGCACGCAGCGGCAUUCUUGAAGAAGGACAAGGCUGUCAACGAGCGCGCGGCCUCGCCACCGACGACAUCGGAUGCCACUGCAGCGGCGGCAUCUUUACCGUCCACAACCGCCACGCAAUCACAGCUGCUUCGCCUCCUCGCGGGAUCGCAGCUGCCGGUGUUGGAGCAGGUUGAGCGCAACAUACGCCACGAGCUUGUCCAUGCCUUCGAUGAUGCUCGGGGUGCGAUUGAAAGCUCCGACUGCGUGCAUCAGGCCUGCAGCGAGAUUCGUGCGGCACGUCUUAGCGGUGACUGUUUUGUCGGCCAAGAGAUGCGGAAGGGGCGCUUCAACUUCUUUGAAGGUGGGCAGAAGUGCGUCCGCCGCCGUGCCGUCAUGGCGGUCGAUCGCAAUCCGGUGUGUCGCGGCUUCUCUGAGCGCGCGGUGGACACGGUGUUUCAGAAGUGCUACUCUGACUACGAGCCCUUCGCAGCACCCAUCUAUGCCCUCGGGAGCUACGGCGACAGCCAGUUUGCAAAUGGCACGCUGAAGCUAUGAGGGAUGUGCGCAGCGCGAGUGCCUUUUGUGGCGUGCUGGUAGACGGGCUGCAGGUAAUGUGUGCGUCUCUCUGUGUGUGUGUGUGUGUGUGUGUGCCUGUGCGAGAGCAUAGGCUUUGUGUGUUCGUGUGUGGUUGUCUCUUGAGCGAACACCGUCGCUUUCUUCGC
rnacentral:misc_RNA from 1 species